AAGGCGCCAGUAGGCGGGAAAGAUUGUGCCUUUGUCGCUCAAUUUCUACAGUGGUAUAGCUCCUGCUUUGCGACCUAAACUCCCUCCCAAAAGAAAAGAAAGAAGUUGUGAUUCCCAUUUUCAUAAUUAUCAAUGGGUAUCAAGGGUUUAACAAAGCUGUUGGCUGAUAAUGCUCCUAAAGCUAUGAAAGAGCAGAAGUUUGAGAGCUAUUUUGGCCGCAAGAUCGCUAUUGACGCUAGCAUGAGCAUCUACCAGUUCCUUAUUGUAGUAGGAAGAAGUGGAACUGAAAUGUUGACUAAUGAAGCUGGUGAAGUCACUAGUCACUUACAAGGCAUGUUUAGUCGGACAAUUAGACUUCUCGAGGCUGGAAUGAAGCCCGUCUACGUGUUUGAUGGGCAGCCUCCGGAUUUGAAAAAACAGGAGCUAGCAAAACGUUACUCAAGGAGGGCAGAUGCUACUGAGGAAUUGGCUGCAGCUGUGGAGACUGGUAAUAAGGAAGACAUUGAAAAAUUCAGUAAGCGGACUGUGAAGGUGACAAAACAGCAUAAUGAAGACUGCAAAAGACUUUUAAGACUAAUGGGAGUACCUGUAAUUGAGGCUCCUUCUGAAGCAGAGGCAGAGUGUGCUGCACUUUGCAAAUCAGGAAAGGUUUAUGCUGUAGCUUCUGAGGACAUGGAUUCCUUAACUUUUGGAGCUCCUAGGUUUCUUCGUCAUUUGAUGGAUCCCAGCUCAAGAAAAGUCCCAGUUAUGGAAUUUGAAACUUCAAAGAUUUUGGAGGAGCUGAACCUUACCAUGGAUCAAUUUAUUGACCUCUGCAUCCUUUCUGGAUGUGAUUAUUGUGACAGCAUUCGAGGAAUUGGAGGCAUGACUGCCUUGAAGCUUAUUCGUCAGCAUGGCUCCAUAGAGAAUAUUUUGGAGAACAUGAAUAAAGAGAGGUACCAAAUACCAGAGGAUUGGCCAUAUCAGGAGGCUCGGCGGCUUUUUAAGGAACCACUUGUCCUUGCUGAUGAAGAGGAACCUGAGCUUAAGUGGACUGCCCCAGAUCAAGAGGGGCUGAUAACUUUUCUGGUGAAUGAAAAUGGGUUCAAUAAUGAUCGGGUGACAAAGGCCAUAGAAAAAAUUAAAGCAGCUAAGAACAAGUCAUCACAGGGCCGAUUGGAAUCUUUUUUUAAGCCAGUUGCCAACUCAUCUAUUCCCAUUAAGCGGAAGGAAACUAAAUGCGUGCUUCAAUCUCCUAAACCAGCAAUCAAGUUUAAAAUGCUGUCUGUGCAAGCUUGUAAUUGUUCCAUGCCCAAGGUCAUUGGCAGGUUAAGCCUGCCAAUUCUCAAUCUAGGUUCCAAGCUCUCAACGCCAGUAUCCAGAGGUGUCUGCUUCGGCAUAUGAAGCUAAAAACUCUGGAAACACCUGAUCACACAGCCAAAGAAACAAGUGCUAAAAAGUCAAAGGCUGGAGGUGGUAGGAAGAAGAAGUAGUUAGUCUGGCAUCGUAACCUCAUCCUACACAUGGCUGGUGAUCAGGUAUCAGUUUUUACAUCAGAGAACAUCCCUCAUAGAUUAUCCAGAGGAUGCUUAGAAUGCAGAAUGUUUAACCUUCAUUGAUAAUUCUUGUAUCUAUCUGGGAAAUUUCGAGGUAUAUAGUACUUUUUUUUUCCUCUCUCUUCCUGUAGGUUAGUAAGAUUUGUGGAUGUUGCGAUUGAUUAAUCUACACUUUUGCUUCUGGUUACAGUUUAGUGCCAUGGCAUAAUUUUAUGUAGUUGCUAGUAACAUUGGUCUA